UUAAAUGAACUCGGAGCAGCUCAUCCAAGAACGGCAAAGUUCUCGCUCAUAGUGGCAGUGAUCUCCUCGUUCAUGGUUGGUCUGGUCUUGUCGGCGAUCUUGCUUGCCACUCAGGACAUAUAUCCGUCCCUAUUCUCCAGAGAUUUGAGGACUUACAAGCCUGGUGGUCGUGGUAAAGGUUGUGGUUCCAACAGUACAGCUCCUCCAUGCACUGGGUAGAUAGAGAUGAUGGCUCCAGUUUUCUCCAGAGUUGCCUGGCGCUGUGAAUGGUAUAUGAUUCAGGUGUGCCAUUUUAUUGCGUCUGGUGUUUGUCUUUUUCUAGGACAUCAAAGUGUCUGCUUGUAUAUUGGGGCCAUGUCAAUCAGAAGAGAUCUCUACGUUAGAUAGGUAGGCAUUGAGUUGUGGAAGAUGAUAUCUUUAUCGUAUGAGUUUGAAUUUGACUUUGAAUUGGAUGCUGUCUGCUAUGGACCAGAAUAAUAAAGUAGGAAAUUGCCUCAUUGAUAAUCUGUGUGUGUCUAAGAGGAUGAUAAUUAUUAGUCACUACAUUUUAAACUCAUAGAUGGUAUAGGGUGACUCAGUUAGGCCUAACCUUUUACAGAGGCAGAUUG